ensembl:lncRNA
GAAUUCCCAAAUCCUGGAACACGGAAUCGCUCUGGGAACACAGAGAGGGAGAGCUGGCAAUGCCAGGAUCCCAAAAAUCCCCACAAAAAUCCCACCUGGAUUCCCCAAAAUCCCAAAAUUCCCCUCAAAAUUCCCACCUGGAAUCCCCAAAAACCCAAAAAUCCCCUUGAAAAUCCACCUGGAAUCCCCCAAAUCCCAAAAAAUCCCCUCAAAAUUCCCACCUGGAAUCCCCAAAAUCCCAAAAAUAAUCCCCCCUGGAGUUCCCAAAACCCCCAAAAUGCCACCUGGAACCCCAAAACCCCCCCCAGAAUUCCCGAAUUCCCGCAUUUCGGGACCCCUCACCUCGCUGCUGCCGCUGCCGGGCUCCCAAUCCUCCUCGGGCCCGAUGAUCUGGGGCCGCCCCGAGCCCUGGCCCCAACAGAAACCAACAAAAACCGGGAUCAGCCCCGGGAACGGCCCCGCGGAAUCACCGGGAUUUUGGGGAUUUUUUGGGAUUUUUGGGGGACUUUUUGGGGAUUUUGUGGGGAUUUUUUGGGGUUUUGGGGAUUUUUUGGGGAUUUUUUUGAUUAUUUUUGGGAAUUUUUCUUUUACUUUUUUGGGAUUUUUUGGGGAUAUUUUUUUGGACUUUUUGGGGAAUUUUUUGGGAUUUUUUUGGGAUUUUGUGGGGAUUUUUUGGGGAUUUUUUUGGUGUUUUGCAGCCGCACCGGGUCCGAGGGGAGGCGGGAGCCGAGCACGGGGGAGCUCCGGGGGCUGCCGGGCUGGGAGCAGCCGGAAUUCCGGGACACCUGCAACGGGAAUUUGGGAUCAGCACCCCAAAAACCCCCCAGGAGAAUCCCAAAUUAUGGAGGGGGGGUUCCAAUCUUUCCCGGAAUUUUCCUGAGAUUUUCCCCGCCCUUUUCCCAGAUUUUUUUCCGGAUUUUUCCCAUAAUUUUCCCUGGAUUUUCCCGGAUUUUUCCCGUGUUUUUCCCGGAUUUAGCCCCGAAUUUUCCUGGGCUUUUCCUGUAUUUUUUCCCAGAUUUUCCCUGGAUUUUUCCCGUAUUAUUUCCCAGAUUUUCCCCAUAUUUUCCCCGGAUUUUUCCCGGAUUUUUCCCAUAUUUUCCGCCUGUUCUUCCCAUAUUUUUUCCCAGAUUUUCCCCAUAUUUUCCCCAGAUUUUCCCCAUAUUUUCCCCGGAUUUUUCCCGUAUUUUUUCCCAGAUUUUUCCCGUAUUUUCCCCCUGUUUUCCCCGUGUUCCCCUCACCUCCAGCUCCUCGGGCGCCGCGUUCCCGUCCUGGGGGUCCCUGGGGAGGCGCCCCCGGAGCUGCGGGGACCCCUCCAGGGGCCGGGAGGGGCCCAAAUCCUGGGAAAGGGAACGGGAUCAGGGAAAGGCCCCCCCCGAUCCCCCAGGCCCAGCUCUGCCCUUUGGGAAAAUUCCCGGGAACAGCGGGAAGGGCUCAGGGCCCAUCCCGAGAUCGUUCCCGGGAUCAUCCCCAGGACUAUUCCUGUAUUUAUUCCCAGAUUUCCUGGAUUUAUUCCUGGAUCAUUCCUGGAUCCUUCCUGUAUUUAUUCCCAGGGCAAUUCCCAUAUUCAUUCCCAGAAUUCCCAGAUGCAUUCCUGGAUUGAUUCCCAGAUCACUCCUGGAUUUUUAUUCCCAGAUCAUUUCCACAUUCACUCCCAUAUUGAUUCCCGGAUCAUUCCCAGAAUCAUUCCCAUAUUCAUUCCCAUAUUCAUUCCCAUAUUCAUUCCUGGAUCAUUCCCAGAAUCUAUCUCAUGGUAAUUCCCAGAUCAUUCCUGGAUUAUUCCCAGAAUUCCCAUAUUCAUUCCUGGAUCAUUCCCAGAUCCAUUCCCAGAAUUCCCAGGAUCACUCCCAGAUAUUUCCCUGCACAUUCCCAUAUUCAUUCCCAGAUCCAUUCCUGCACAUCCCCAGGAUAAUUCCCAGAUAUUCUCCCACACAUUCCCAUAUUCAUCCCUGGUUUUUUCCCUGUACAUCCCCAUAUCCAUCCCGCUCCAUUCUGGACAUUCCUGCAUCCAUUCCCGGACCGUUCCCGGACCAUUCCCGGUAUUUUCCCGCACGUUCCCGUUCCGUACCGGGGCCGUCCCCCGCGUCUCCUGCAGCACCUUCAGCUGCAGCUGGCUCAGCCGCCGCCGCGCCCCCUCCAGCUGCUCCUCCAGCGCCGCGCCCGCGCCCGGCUGCCGCUGCAGCAGCUCCUGGAAACGCU